AUGAAGCUGUAAUAAGCCAAGGGUGGUGCUGUCAGGCGCUCGGCUCAUCCAUCUUGGAGGCUCUCAGGAGGCCACCUGCAGGGACCACACAGCCUCUGCACACAGCGCCCAGGGGUCCCUCGCCUGGCCUCUGGCUGUGCCCCUGCAGACCUGGACUCUAGUGGGAGCACAGGUCUGGCUCCAGACCUCAAUCUCAACCUCAACCUGGCUGCAGGGGACAGAGACAUGCUAGGGACACAGACCUGGGAGGGAGGGAGGGAGAGGGGAUGGAGGGGGAAGAAGCAAGGGAGGAGUGGGAGGAGAUCAAAGACUACCCAGGAACAGAAACCCAGAAACAGCUGAGAGAGGAGGCCUGCAGGGGGAGUAGGGGGGAGCCGUGGCAGAAGCAACGCAGGCCUGGCUACUCCUGUUCCUUCCUGUCACCCUCUCAUGAUUCCUGGCUCUGACUGCUGACUGCUGUGUUCUCCUCUCACUCUGCGGGCUCCUUUGCCAAUGCUUCUUUUUUACUUCCCUGGCACAUGGCCAAGGAGGGCUGCCCUGGGCCCUGAGUCCACAUGACCCUUCAGCGCCAGCGCACAUGACCAAGCUGCAGCUCUCCAGUCUUCUCGGCCUCAGUUCAGUUUCCCCGCAGAGAAGCCCAAAUUGGCCAGCAUGUUGUUUGCAGCUAAGGCACCAGUCAUAGCUCACCGACGCGUCUACUGACUGGCUGCCCUUUGGUCAGUGUCCAUGGGUCCAACCAGCCGUGACGCUGAGGGAGAUGCCACAUAACCACAGUCCACUGCUCAGGCCGCCGGCGCUGCAGGGAGCCCCAUGUCCAGUCAUGAAUCUGUCCUGUUGUACUGCUGUUUGUAUGAACGGGGCCUUGGGGACCAACCUCUGCUCUCCACAGACUCUGUGUCCUCCUAGCCUCUUCUAUUCUCAACUUUUACAUCAGUUGUGUUGCAAUGAGACUUGACAAUAUCCAGAAAUCUCAAAAGAAGUGUACUGCAAGGCGUGAAUUAUUUGAAGCAACAACUCUACUCAUUUCCCUGUGAAUUCCACUUACAACAUCCUAUGAGCACUGUGAGCACUUAGACCUUAAGGGAUCUUACAUAAACGUCCUUAUACGUUGACCAGUGAGUGAGGUUAGCUCAGAGGUACACUGUGAGAAGAGAACUGGCCAGAGCAGGGGCCUGGAGAACUCCAGCUUGAAAAGGGAGUAAAAGAAAAGACGCCAGCGAAGGGAAGGCUGAGGAGAGGCCGGACACGUCGGGGGAAACCGAGAAAGGCCGUGACCAAGAGAAGCCAAGAGAGAAGAGGGUUUGGAGAAGGAAGACAUUGCGAACGUCCGCGUCUGUAGGAAGAUGCCGUAGGACGUGACUGGGAACGGUCCCUUGGAUUUGGCAUGAAGAAGGACUUUGCCCUUUGGAAUCGAAUGUGAGAACUGGAACAAUGAACGCUGAACACGAAGGCUCCUUUGGCAGGUGCUCAGAGCUCCAGGAAAUGUCCCUCUCUCUGCUGCAGGUGUGUCGUUCUUCGGAGGCAGCCAGUUAUUUAUGAAAAACUCAGCCCGUGUCAUCGUGGAAAUAAUAUCCCAGAACCACAGGCUGUUUCUCAUGGUCCUGACAGAGCUUAAUUCCUAAAGUCAAGACGAGAGCCUCUGGGAUCACAACCAGCACCUUCCUCUCGGCCUCCAGCUGGUCCAGGAUGGUUUUCUGCAGCAGUGGGGCGUUUGCUCCUCUAACCACAGC